rnacentral:rRNA from 1 species
GUCGGGAAUAUUGCGCAAUGGAGGAAACUCUGACGCAGUGACGCCGCGUGCAGGAAGAAGGUUUUCGGAUUGUAAACUGCUUUAGACAGGGAAGAAAAAAAUGACAGUACCUGUAGAAUAAGCUCCGGCUAACUACGUGCCAGCAGCCGCGGUAAUACGUAGGGAGCGAGUGUUAUCCGGAUUUAUUGGGUGUAAAGGGUGCGUAGACGGAAUGACAAGUUAGUUGUGAAAUCCCUCGGCUUAACUGAGGAACUGCAACUAAAACUAUCAAUCUUGAGUACUGGAGGGGAAAGCGGAAUUCCUAGUGUAGCGGUGAAAUGCGUAGAUAUUAGGAAGAACACCGGUGGCGAAGGCGGCUUUCUGGACAGUAACUGACGUUGAGGCACGAAAGUGUGGGGAGCAAACAGG